GACGAACGCUGGCGGCGUGCUUAACACAUGCAAGUCGAACGGAAAGGCCCUGCUUUUGUGGGGUGCUCGAGUGGCGAACGGGUGAGUAACACGUGAGUAACCUGCCCUUGACUUUGGGAUAACUUCAGGAAACUGGGGCUAAUACCGGAUAGGAGCUCCUGCUGCAUGGUGGGGGUUGGAAAGUUUCGGCGGUUGGGGAUGGACUCGCGGCUUAUCAGCUUGUUGGUGGGGUAGUGGCUUACCAAGGCUUUGACGGGUAGCCGGCCUGAGAGGGUGACCGGCCACAAUGGGACUGAGAUACGGCCCAGACUCCUACGGGAGGCAGCAGUGGGGAAUAUUGCACAAUGGGCGGAAGCCUGAUGCAGCAACGCCGCGUGCGGGAUGACGGCCUUCGGGUUGUAAACCGCUUUCGCCUGUGACGAAGCGUUAGUGACGGUAAUGGGUAAAGAAGCACCGGCUAACUACGUG
rnacentral:rRNA from 1 species